rnacentral:rRNA from 1 species
AACGAACGCUGGCGGCGCGCUUAACACAUGCAAGUCGAACGAGAAGGCGUAGCAAUACGCUUGUACAGUGGCGAACGGGUGAGUAACACGUGGGUGACCUACCCUCGAGUGGGGAAUAACCCGCCGAAAGGCGGGCUAAUGCCGCGUACGCUUCCAGGUUUGCGGAUCUGGAAGGAAAGCCAUGCCGUGGGCAUGGCGCUCAAGGAUGGGCUCACGUCCUAUCAGCUUGUUGGUAGGGUAACGGCCUACCAAGGCAACGACGGGUAGCUGGUCUGAGAGGACGAUCAGCCACACUGGCACUGCGACACGGGCCAGACUCCGACGGGAGGCAGCAGUGAGGAAUAUUGCGCAAUGGGCGAAAGCCUGACGCAGCGACGCCGCGUGGGGGAUGAAGGUCUUCGGAUUGUAAACCCCUUUCGGGAGGGAAGAUGGGACGGGCAACCGUUCGGACGGUACCUCCAGAAGCAGCCACGGCUAACUUCGUGCCAGCAGCCGCGGUAA